rnacentral:rRNA from 1 species
UACGAAGGGGGCUAGCGUUGUUCGGAAUUACUGGGCGUAAAGCGCGCGCAGGCGGUCCUUUAAGGCAGGGGUGAAAGCCCAGAGCUCAACUCUGGAACUGCCUUUGAAACUAGAGGACUUGGGUACGGGAGAGGUGAGUGGAAUUCCGAGUGUAGAGGUGAAAUUCGUAGAUAUUCGGAAGAACACCAGUGGCGAAGGCGGCUCACUGGCCCGUUACCGACGCUCAGGCGCGACAGCGUGGGGAGCAAACAGG